GUGGAAGAAGGAUAGAAGAGUGGAAGAAGGAAAGAAGAGUGAAGAAAGAAAAGAAGAGUAGAAGAAGGAAAGAAGAGUGGAAGAAGGAAAGAAGAAAGGAAAGGAGAGUGGAAGAAGGGAAGAAGGAAAGAAUAAUAUUCCUAGUUAUACAGUUGAAUGGAGAGGGACAGAGAGAAGAGGAGCCUUGGAACCUUGGCGCAGGUGUCAGUGAAGCACAGGUGCAAGCCAGUUUAAAGACCCUAUUAUGAUGUCAUAAUGGCCCAAUGUAAGUCAAUGGGAGAAAUUGUAUUAGUUUUUAUUUAAUAUUUUAAAAAGUAUAAAGUUUAGAAAAAUGAAAAAUACAUAGCAUAAGUGUCCUUUACAAGACCUAAGCGACAAAGUUUGAACGAAGUUUCUAAGUUAAGCGGUUAAAGCUGAAUUAAGCGCAGAAGUUUGGUACAAAGAAUAAUAAUAAGAAGAAUAAGAAGCCUAGGAAUAACAAUACAGGGCAUUUCAUGCACUGUAAUAAGUAUAAGAAACGAAGGAAUAACAAUACAGGGCAUUUCAUGCACUGUAACUAGAAAAUGCAUUUCCUGAAGGAAAUACCAGUGCAUGAAAUGCAAAAGUUAAGAAAGGAAGAAGAAAAGAAAGAAGAGUGAAAGAAAGGAAAUAAGAAAG
ensembl:lncRNA